AUUGAACGCUGGCGGCAGGCCUAACACAUGCAAGUCGAGCAAGCGGCGGACGGGUGAGUAAUGUAUGGGGACUGCCCGAUAGAGGGGGAUAACUACUGGAAAAGGUGGCUAAUACCGCAUACUAUCGGAUAACCCAUAUGGGAUUAGCUAGUGGGUGGGGUAAAGGCUCACCUAGGCGACGAUCUCUAGCUGGUCUGAGAGGAUGAUCAGCCACACUGGGACUGAGACACGGCCCAGACUCCUACGGAGGCAGCAGUAGGGAAUAUUGGGCAAUGGGCGAAAGCCUGAUGGAGCCAUGCCGCGGGUAUGAAGAAGGUCUUCGGAUUGUAAAGUACUGUCAGCGGGGAGGCGUUACCCGCAGAAGAAGCACCGGCUAACUCCGUGCCAGCAGCCGCGGUAAUAC
rnacentral:rRNA from 1 species